rnacentral:rRNA from 1 species
CGCAUCUGUGCAUGCAGCAUAUCAAUAAGCGGAGGAAAAGAAACUAACAAGGAUUCCCCUAGUAACGGCGAGUGAAGCGGGAAGAGCUCAAGUUUGAAAUCUUAAAGGGUUUCCCUUUACGAAUUGUAGUUUAAAGAAGUGUUUUCUGUUGAGGUUUUGGUAAAAGUUCUUUGGAAUAGGACAUCAUAGAGGGUGAGAAUCCCGUAUUUGACCUUUACUUUCAACUUUGUGAUACACUUUCAAAGAGUCGGAUUGUUUGGGAAUGCAGUCCAAAAUGGGUGGUAAAUUUCAUCUAAAGCUAAAUAUUGGCGAGAGACCGAUAGCGAACAAGUACCGUGAGGGAAAGAUGAAAAGAACUUUGAAAAGAGAGUUAAACAGUACGUGAAAUUGUCAAAAGGGAAUGCGUUUGACACCAGUGUUGUUUUUCUGAAAAUCAAUUAAAGAACUGUUUAUGCUAAGCUGUUUAGACUUUAUCAGCUAACUGUUUAGUUUUGAGCUUUUCUUUAAUGCACUUUUCAGUUAACAAGUCAACAUCAAUUUCUUUUGCUGUAAAAAAGCUUGAGGAAGGUGGCUUGAGAUUCGUCUUAAGUGUUUAUAGCCUCUUGCCUAUGCAGUCGGAGAGAUUGAGGUCUGCAGCGUAGAUCCUUCGGGGCUAAAUGCAUUUGUGCUAAGUUAUAGCAUUUUAUAGACAACUUGUUGACUAUGAUUUGUCUUGUAGCUUACUCGCUUAUGUUAUUUUACCUACGCUUAGGAUGUUGAGUCGUAGAGCACGCAG